CAGCCGCCGCGGGAAUACGAACCGUGCGAACGUUAUUCGGAAUCACUGGGCUUAAAGCGCGUGUAGGCGGGACGGCACGUCGACUGCUGAAAUCCCUCGGCUUAACCGGGGAAGUGGCAUCAAUACGACCGUCCUGGAGGAACGUUAGGGGACCUGGAACUUCCGGUGGAGCGGUGAAAUGCGUUGAGAUCGGAAGGAACGCCCGUGGCGAAAGCGAGGUCCUGGACGUUUUCUGACGCUGAGACGCGAAAGCUAGGGGAGCGAACGGGAUUAGAUACCCCAGUAGUCCCUGUCUCUUAUA
rnacentral:rRNA from 1 species